rnacentral:misc_RNA from 1 species
GAUGAAGAACGCAGCGAAAUGCGAUAAGUAGUGUGAAUUGCAGAAUUCAGUGAAUCAUCGAAUCUUUGAACGCACAUUGCGCCCCUUGGUAUUCCAUGGGGCAUGCCUGUUCGAGCGUCAUUUGUACCCUCAAGCUAAGCUUGGUGUUGGGUGGUUGUCCACUCCCUCGUGUUUGGACUCGCCUUAAAACAAUUGGCAGCCAGUGUUUUGGUAUUGAAGCGCAGCACAAUUUGCGAUUCUAGCCUAGAAUACUAGCAUCCAUCAAGUCAUUUUUAACGCUUGACCUCGGAUCAGGUAGGGAUACCCGCUGAACUUAAGCAUAUCAAUAAGCGGAGGA